rnacentral:misc_RNA from 1 species
CUUGCUUUUCCUUUGUCUUCAGCCUCGGUCAGGUUCAGGGUGCGAUUUUGUUGGGGUCCUUGGCGUGGUGGACACGUGCGGUGCCGUUGUUGCCGGUGAUACCACGUGGGCGGAUUUUGUGAGUUGGCUGCUAGGACCCCAACAUCUAUAAUAAAGAACUGCUCAACCUCUUCGAAUCAGCAUCGGGAUUCUUCCCUCUGGCCGAGCAAAAUUUCUCAUCCCCGGCUGACAUCGUGAUGGAGAUGGUGUCGUGGACCUUGGACAUCUGAACUCGAGAGACUGGAGGUUGAUCUUCCAGGGAAUUUCUGCGAGGCCACGUGUCACGGAGACCACUGUUAACUUCCACCCACGUGUCAAAAACAAUUCGAACCCUCAGUGUAGUUUAAAUUUAUAUUAGAUUAAUCAAAAAUGUAUUUCGGUCCACAGUGUAGAUUGAAAAUAAUUUCGGGUUGUGUUAAACUCGUUCGUUUAGUCCAUAAACAGAAGAUAAAGUUGUUUGUUCAUUUAAAUUUGUAUGAAGCUUAAAAUUGUGUUUCGUUGUAUUAAAUUACUUUCUACAUU